GUUGGAAAACCAGCCAGUUCUUUUGCUUAUUUCACUCUAUCAGCAAAGGAAAAGUUGCAAGCACAUCGUCAUGUGCUAACUAACUGCACCAUAGUUGACCCGUUUCUGCAGGAAUUUAGAGACACUUUACGAAGACAACUAAGAAGCCGCACACGAUCAUCCUCUAUGAUAGACAAGAGGGUUCAUAGGGAAUUUGUAGAAUGGUUUUCACGUCGUAUAAGGAAUGAAUCAAUUGGUACCCAUUCAAUUGAUUUAAAAUUCUUAGCUAUGGGUC